rnacentral:rRNA from 1 species
AUGGAGAUUGCCAUAUCUGCAGUUACAGGUGAACUAGUGAGCCGGUUCAUCUCCUUCCUGAUGAAAAAGUACCACUCCUCCCUCCAUGCGAAAUUAGAGGAGAAGAUAGUAGUGGAGAGGUUGCAACACCUCCUGAUAAGAGCUGCCACCAUCGUCGAGGAGGCGGAUGCACGGUACAUAACCAACUCAGGGAUGAUGAUGCAGCUCAAGAAGCUUUCUGAGGCCAUGUACCGAGGAUACCACGAGCUGGACACCUUGAGGUACCGAACUCUCCAAGGCGGUGCAGGCUUCAACGAGGUUAGCAACGACUCAUCUACCAGCUGCUUGUAUGUAGCUAAGCGUUCUCGGACAACUGACACGGCCAUGCACCUCAAGUCACAUACUGCCUUGGAAAGCUUAGAAAUUGCUAUAGCUAACAUGGCAGAAUUCAUUGUACUUAUGGGCGGAUGUGAACACAUGGUUCGUAGGCCCUAUGAUGUUUAUCUUUACACCGACAACUUCAUGUUCAACCGGCAUGCUGAGAAGCAGAAGCUCUUGAGCUUCUUGUUGCAGCACAAUGAUCUUACCGGUGGUCAUGCACUGGAUGUUCUUCCGAUCAUAGGUACUUCUGCAACUGGGAAGAAAACUUUGGUUGCUCAUGUGUGUGGCGACGGAAGAGUUCGCACACGCUUCCCGUCUGUUUUACACUUGAAUGGAGACAACCUUUUGACGAUACUUGACCAUGGAAGGGCCAUGGUUGGGAUGAUGUUAGUAGUUAUUGAAUUUGCUUCUGAUGUAGGUGAUGAUGAGUGGAAAAAGUUUCACUCAUUCGUCAUAAGAAUGGGAAGAGGAAGCAAGAUCAUCAUCAUUAGUAGGCUUCAAAGACUAGCUCGAUUUGGAACGGUGAAUCCGAUUUUCUUAAGUGUUCUAUCUUAUGAUGAGUUGAGCUACCUUUUCAAGACUCUGGCAUUCGGAAGUGUAGACCCUGCAGAACAUCCAAGGCUAGUACAGCUAGCAGAUAAAUUUGCCAAGGGGUUGCACGGUACACAUGGUUCACUUCUCGCAGCAAAUAUGUUUGUAGAUGUGUUGAGAAGGAAACUCGAUAUUCAGUUUUGGCGUUGCAUAUUGGACAAGGGGCUAAGAUACGUUAGAAGAAAUCUCUCCAUGUAUGGUGCGCACCCAAGCACACUUAUAGAACAAGGCCAUCCAGUGGACAUAACAGACUUUGCUUUGCAUCCACUUAGCAUGACACCUUAUACUGUUUAUGUUUCAAUGAAGAAGGAAUCACCAAGUGUGACAUUUGGGCAACUUCUAUCAGAUCCUAGUGUUAGACCAGAACAAGACUUUAUGCUAAUUUCAUGGGAAUCAAGAAUGCCACCUCAUAACUCAUUUGCUUGUUUUGUUACAAGUCAUGCUCAGGCCACAUUUGAAGGUAGUGCCAUACCAGGGCGGAAGCGAAGAGGAGUGCCAAUCUAA